AGCGAAGGACGUAGCAAUAUGUUCUUAGCGGCGAACGGGUGAGUAACGCGUUGGUGACCUGCCUCGAAGCGUGGGAUAACAGUUCGAAAGGAUUGCUAAUACCGCAUGUGGUUAUGGAGGUCAGAAGCUCCAUAAGUAAAGGAGAAAUUCACUUCGAGAGGGGCCUGCGUCCCAUCAGCUAGUUGGUGAGGUAAAAGCCCACCAAGGCGAUGACGGGUAGGGGACCUGAGAGGGUGGCCCCCCACAAUGGAACUGAAACACGGUCCAUACACCUACGGGUGGCAGCAGUAGGGAAUAUUGCAUAAUGGGCGAAAGCCUGAUGCAGCAACGCCGCGUGUGCGAUGAAGGCCUUCGGGUCGUAAAGCACUUUUUGAGAGGAUGAGGAAGGACAGUACUCUCAGAAUAAGCCUCGGCUAACUACGUGCCAGCAGCCGCGGUAAAACGUAGGAGGCGAGCGUUAUCCGGAUUUACUGGGCGUAAAGCGCGUGCAGGCGGUAAGGAAAGUUGGAUGUAAAAGCUCCUGGCUUAACUGGGAGAGGUCGUUCAAAACUACCUAACUAGAGUGUGGGAGAGGGAGGCGGAAUUCCGGGUGUAGUGGUGAAAUGCGUAGAUAUCCGGAGGAACACCAGUGGCGAAAGCGGCCUCCUGGCCCAAGACUGACGCUCAGACGCGAAAGCUAGGGUAGCAAACGGGAUUAGAGACCCCGGU
rnacentral:rRNA from 1 species